AAUUUGCUUGUACAUCUUGAUUAUCUUGAUACGAAUCAUUGGACAUCUCAUAUUCACACCUUACUAUUGAGAUAUGGUUUUGGUUGUAUUUGUUUACCACAGAGUUGGCAGUGUAAAUAUGUGUAUUACAGUUUCGUAUUCGGGCUAUUGACAUGUUUAAGCAGGAACGGUAUUCAACUAUUAUUGAAAGUUCCAGAUAUGUUCAUAUCGUCAAUUUAAGUCGUUGCUUGAGCCAGUGUCUUAUUUGCUCACCUAAACUACAGAAAUGUUCGCAAUGUUUUAUACGUUUUAGAUUAGGCCUCAAUGAUUUAGCAAUUAACCGUGGAAGAUAUCUUUCUACUGAAAAGACCCAAAGAUAUUGUCCAUUCUGUAAUUUUAUUGAAGAUGAAUUCCAUUUUAUGUUUAUUUGUCCUGUAUAUGAAAAUCUAAGAAGUAAUUAUCUAACACAAUUGUCUUUAUCUGAAAUCAAUGUUAAACUAUUGCCUUCCUUACUUUCCUGCAAAGAACCUCCAAAUCAACACAAAGUAGCCCUAUUUUUUCACAAUGCAUUUUUCUUGAGAAGAGAAUUGAUCAGUUAGAAAGUUGAUUAUAUAUGCCAUUGUUAAUAUGUAUCUCUUUUGUAUAUGGGCCUAUGGUCUUUCAUGCAAAUACAUAAUUGAAUUGAAUCUCUCAACAGUAGGUGCCUGGUAGACGGUAAGACAAAGUCACCGUUUCUUCAGAAAAUGCAUAAACGUCACUUCUGACGGCAUGUUUACAA